rnacentral:rRNA from 1 species
GAUGAACGCUGACAGAAUGCUUAACACAUGCAAGUCGAUGGGGAAGUGGUGCUUGCACCAUGGCAACCAUGGCGGACGGGUGAGUAACGCGUAAGGGACUUACCUGCAGGACUGGGAUAACAGGGGGAAACUCCUGACAAGACCGGAUAAUGUCAUGGAGCUGCAUGGCUUUAUGAUGAAAGGAGACGCCUGCGGAGAGCCUUGCGUCCUAUUAGCUAGUUGGUGAGGUAAUGGCUCACCAAGGCGAAGAUAGGUAGCCGGCCUGAGAGGGUGGACGGCCACAAGGGGACUGAGAUACGGCCCUUACUCCUACGGGAGGCAGCAGUGGGGAAUAUUGGACAAUGGGGGCAACCCUGAUCCAGCAAUUCUGUGUGCACGAAGAAGGUUUCCGGAUUGUAAAGUGCUUUCAGCAGGGAAGAAGUAAGUGACGGUACCUGCAGAAGAAGCGACGGCUAAAUACGUG